rnacentral:ncRNA from 1 species
GUUAUCAAGAAAGGUGGAGGGAUUAGACCCUUUGAAACCUUAGCAACCCUUUAUUAUUUUAAAGAAGGUGCUAAAUUCUACUAAAGGAAAU